rnacentral:rRNA from 1 species
AGCUCCAAUAGCGUAUAUUAAAGUUGUUGCGGUUAAAAAGCUCGUAGUUGGAUUUCUGCCGCUCUCAGCCGGUCCGCCCGUCGGGAGGGAUGCGGUAUGGGGUUGGCAUUCUCUUGAAGAACGCUUCUGCACUUGACUGUGUGGAGCGGUAUUCAGGACUUUUACUUUGAGGAAAUUAGAGUGUUUCAAGCAGGCAUACGCUGUGAAUAUGUUAGCAUGGAAUAAUAAGAUAGGACCUCGGUUCUAUGUUGUUGGUUUCUAGAGCUGAGGUAAUGAUUAAUAGGGACAGUUGGGGGCAUUCGUAUUUAACUGUCAGAGGUGAAAGUCUUGGAUUUGUUAGAGACGGACUACUGCGAAAGCAUUUGCCAAGGAUGUUU